rnacentral:rRNA from 1 species
AACAUGAUCAUACCACCCUGAAUGCACCCAAUCUUGUGUGAUCUUGGAAGCUAAAAAGGGUCAGGUGUGGUUAGAACUUGGAUAGGAAACCAAAAUUUUUAAACAUAGAUCAAAGUUG